rnacentral:misc_RNA from 1 species
GAUGAAGAACGUAGCGAAAUGCGAUACUUGGUGUGAAUUGCAGAAUCCCGUGAACCAUCGAGUCUUUGAACGCAAGUUGCGCCCGAAGCCAUUAGGCCGAGGGCACGCCUGCCUGGGCGUCACACGUCGUUGCCCCCCCAUCUACUCCUUCGGGAUUGCGGGGGGCGGAUGAUGGCCUCUCGUGCGCCUCGUCGCGCGGUUGGCCUAAAUGCCAAGUCCUCGGCGACGCACGCCACGGCAAUCGGUGGUUGCGAAACCUCGGUUGCCUGUCGUGUGCGGUCGUCGCGCAUCGAGGGCUCGAAAAAAUUGCCGGGCUUCGGCUCGACUUUCAACGCGACCCCAGGUCAGGCGGGGUUACCCGCUGAAUUUAAGCAUAUCAAUAAGCGGAGGA